rnacentral:lncRNA from 10 species
UGGGGACCAAGCCUGGUGCCCCCAGACCCCACCUCACCCCAUGGGCUGUGGCAGGGGGUGGGGGACUGUCAAGAGGAUGGCGGGGUUACAUCUGCAAUUCUGGUCUUAAGGCCCUUGUGCCAUUCAUAAACUGAAAAGAUGAAGAAGGACUUGAUUUCUGGGGACAAGACCUGUGGGACAAUUGCAGGAAUCGACUCGCCCUGCUCGUAACAUAAAGAUAUUGGGGAACCUCCUUCCUCAAGCUGGGAGCACAGGCAAAGGAUGGCAGUUGUCACCUCCCAGGGACUCCUGGGGACAAAAGCCACACCGGCACCUGUAGUGCCCUCAAUAAUGUACCCUAAAGAGGUCAGGUCCUAAUCCUUGGACCCUGCAAACGUGUCCUUGUUUGGAGAAGGGGCCACAGGACUAAGUGAAGGUUCUGGAGACGAGAUGAUCCUGGACCACCUGGGUGGGCCCUGAAUGCAAUCACAGAUGUCCUCAUAAGAGGGAGGCAGAGGGGGCUCCGGCCCACAGAGAGGAGAGGGUGCGUGGGGACAGAGCAGAGAGAGAUGAAGAUGCCGGCCCUGGAGACUGGAGUGAGCUGCCACACUCCCAUCCCACGGAGGGGUCUUUGCAGGAGGUCAGGCAUGCAGGGCUCAUGGCAACAGCUUCCGUUUCCCACUUGCCGUGUGCCGUGGGCUGUGAGAGACUCAGCGGCAGUGAGGCAGGCCGGACACCUCCAGGCCACGUGUGGGCAGAUGCAGGUGCUUUGCAGAGAGCAGAUGGUGUUCCCAGCACAUCUUCACCAGAUCUGUUCCAGAGAGAGGGAUCUUCUAGAACUCAGCCAUCCUCGCACUGCUAAGCACAGUGAUGGGUGAACAGCUUGGUCCUGCCCAGCAUCUCCCGGGGGCCUGGCCCAUGUAUGUCUUUGUGUGCACCGAGUGUAGGCCGUAGUAUCAAUGUGUACAGUUGUACAGCUCAAUGACAGAUCAGCGCUUUCAGAUAGCCCUCUAAUCAAAACCCACAAACACCAGAAUGGCCACAACCCAACUCCUCAGCAGGGGCUCAGCUACAGCCGUUGACGCCCUCUCCAGACCCUGAGCCCUGCCACAUCCUGGGGGCCCAAGAUGACGUCCUCCCCAUACCCUGAGCCCUGCCACGUCCUCCCCAGACCCUGAGCCCUGCCACGUCCUGGGGGCCCGAGAUGACGUACUCCCCAGACCCUGAGCCCUGCCACGUCCUGGGGGCCCGAGAUGACGUCCUCCCCAGACCCUGAGCCCUGCCACGUCCUGGGGGCCCGAGAUGACGUCCUCCCCAGACCCUGAGCCCUGCCACGUCCUGGGGGCCCGAGAUGACGUCCUCCCCAGACCCUGAGCCCUGCCACGUCCUGGGGGCCCGAGAUGACGUCCUCCCCAGACCCUGAGCCCUGCCACGUCCUGGGGGCCUGAGAUGACGUCCUCCCCAGACCCUGAGCCCUGCCACAUCCUGGGGGCCCGAGAUGACAUACUCCCCAGACCCUGAGCCCUGCCACGUCCUGGGGGCUAGAGAUGACAUCCUCCCCAGACCCUGAGCCCUGCCACGUCCUGAGGGCUCGAGAGGCUCUUGCUAGUCAUUGUGCCAUGGAUGCCCCAACAGCACAGGCCGUGCUUGGUGUAAAUCAUUCUUUGGUUAUUACAGAGACCUGGCAUUUACCCUAAAAACUCAUCCCGGUCUUCUCUCCGAUGGCCC